AUCAUUUCCUGUCUUUGAGCAGGUCUGCCUAUAAUUUUUUAUAAUGUUUUAGUUGUUAAGCAGGAAUGCAGAGAAAUCCUUAGCUUUCCUAUGGUAUGUUGUUUUUCAGUUUCCUGGGCUAAAGUCAAAUUUGGGUUGCUUAAACGUGAUGUAUAGUAUUGUAUAUGAUAAACAACAGGGUGUGAUAAACUUAAAAUAUAAAAUAUGGAGUUUUUCCCCCUAUCCUUUUCUUCUUUUGACAGUAAAAGUUAUGGCAUGGUUGGUUGUCUGACUUCUAAGUUUCUUAAUAUACGCCUCUUCAUUGAGAUUUAGAGUCAAAUAUGAGCAACCAUUUUUAUUUUAUCUAACGUCCAUCAGCCCCUUGAAUUUGCUUUACCACAUUGUCCUUGGCAAUUGAAUAUAAGUUUGAACAUUAUGUUGUAUUAUUUUUGAAUGCUUGUAAUUGUUUUGAUGAAUUCUAAAGAUGUUAUGUUCUAUAUAUGAAAAGUGACUAAUUAUGUGAUUAGAUGUCGCUUGCUACUAAGUUUUCUUUAUCAUAUUCAUGAUCUAACUUAUCAUGUUAUGCUUUGUUGCAUUUUGCAGGUGAAAUGGCUGAACAAACAGCUGAGCAAAUUAUGGCCAUUCAUUG
rnacentral:misc_RNA from 1 species